rnacentral:tRNA from 1 species
AUUUUCGGGGUGUUAUUUUGCACGUUAGAUUUUCGUUCUAAAGGAAUAAGUUUUAAGUUAUCGAGAAUU